rnacentral:rRNA from 1 species
GACGAACGCUGGCGGCGUGCUUAACACAUGCAAGUCGAACGGAAAGGCCCUGCUUUUGUGGGGUGCUCGAGUGGCGAACGGGUGAGUAACACGUGAGUAACCUGCCCUUGACUUUGGGAUAACUUCAGGAAACUGGGGCUAAUACCGGAUAGGAGCUCCUGCUGCAUGGUGGGGGUUGGAAAGUUGGGGCGGUUGGUGAUGGACUCGCGGCUUAUCAGCUUGUUGGUGGGGUAGUGGCUUACCAAGGCUUUGACGGGUAGCCGGCCUGAGAGGGUGACCGGCCACAGUGGGACUGAGGUACGAACCAGACUCGUGCGGGAGGCAGGGGUGGGUAUUAUUGCAGUAUGGGCGGAGGCCUGAUGCAGCAACGCCGCGUGCGGUAUCACUGCCUUCGGGUUGUAAACCGCUUUCGCCUGUGACGAAGCGUGAGUGACGGUAAUUGGUAGAGAGGCGCCGGCUAACUACGUG